CCCUUAGAUGUUCUGGGCCGCACGCGCGCUACACUGAUGCAUUCAACGAGUCUAAAACCUGGUCUGAUAGGGCUGGGUAAUCUUUUGAAAGUGCAUCGUGAUUGGGAUAGAUGAUUGCAAUUCUUCAUCUUCAACGAGGAAUUCCUAGUAAACGCAAGUCAUCAACUUGCAUUGAUUACGUCCCUGCCCUUUGUACACACCGCCCGUCGCACCUACCGAUUGAACGUUCCGGUGAGACCUUGGGAUUUGGUCUUUGAUACUUUAUUGUGUCGUUGACCGAAAAACUUGAGCAAACCUUAACGUUUAGAGGAAGGUGAAGUCGUAACA
rnacentral:rRNA from 1 species